AGUGAACGCUGGCGGUAGGCCUAACACAUGCAAGUCGAACGGCAGCACAGUAAGAGCUUGCUCUUACGGGUGGCGAGUGGCGGACGGGUGAGGAAUACAUCGGAAUCUACUUUUUCGUGGGGGAUAACGUAGGGAAACUUACGCUAAUACCGCAUACGACCUACGGGUGAAAGCAGGGGAUCUUCGGACCUUGCGCGAUUGUAUGAGCCGAUGUCGGAUUAGCUAGUUGGCGGGGUAAAGGCCCACCAAGGCGACGAUCCGUAGCUGGUCUGAGAGGAUGAUCAGCCACACUGGAACUGAGACACGGUCCAGACUCCUACGGGAGGCAGCAGUGGGGAAUAUUGGACAAAGGGCGCAAGCCUGAUCCAGCAAUACCGCGUGGGUGAAGAAGGCCUUCGGGUUGUAAAGCCCUUUUGUUGGGAAAGAAAAGCAGCAGGUUAAUCCCCCGCUGUUCUGACGGUACCCAAAGAAUAAGCCCCGGCUAACUUCGUG
rnacentral:rRNA from 1 species